GAUAGAACUAUGCUGUAAACUUUGGCAUGAAUCAAGCAUGCUGAUACUCUCUCAAACAGCAACUUUUUCUUUCUCUCCCCCCUCCCGCUUUUUUUUUUUUGGCACAGAGUCAUUCGUUUGAGGCUGGGGGAGAGGAACAGAAAGACUAAAUAAAAUGUGGUACAGUGGUUCUAGAAAUGAUUUGAUCUGGUCCAGUAAAGGUCCAGAGUUCACCGACUGGACCUGAAGGACCCAAGUGAGAAUAAGGUCAGGAGCCAGUUUUUGAAAGUGGUGAGCAGACGUCAGGACUUGAAGGCCUGCUUGCUCUUUUUCUGUUACUGUCAUAACGUCUUGGACAGAAUCUACCCUAGGAAAACACUGUCAGUGCCUAUCAUCCAGUAACCAACCCAGGAAGUUCUUGUAAGCAUGCAUUUCUUAGUCAACACUGAAUGCCUUUAGACCGAGGUCAACCUUUUCAGCUGGUACCGUGGUUUACACUGCUGUGCCAGCUGUGGCUAAUGUGUCAGCCUUUCCGUCACCUGAUUCCCAACAUUCAAGGGUUCAUAACGAGACUGCUGAGUUUCACCGCAAACUGAAGCUUGGUAUGGGAGAAUCGAGCCCGAAGCAAACUUUUUCAUUACAAAAAGUAGUUUCUCUAUAAAACCACUAAUAAAGAAGCAAAGCUAGUGAUUAUUGUUGAACAGAA
rnacentral:lncRNA from 1 species